rnacentral:rRNA from 1 species
AUUGAACGCUGGCGGCAGGCCUAACACAUGCAAGUCGAGCGGAGAGGCGGAAGGGUGAGCAAUGUAUGGGGCUCUGCCCGAUAGAGGGGGACAAGGUCCGGACACGGGCACUAAUUCCGCAUACUAUCAGCUAAGCCUAAGUCGGAUUAGCGAGGUGGAGGGGUAAAGGCGUACCAAGGCGACGAUCCGGAACUGGUCUGAGAGGAUGAUCAGUAACACUGGAACUGAGACACGGUCCAGACUCCUACGGGAGGCAGCAGUGGGGAAUAUUGGACAAUGGGCGAAAGCCUGAUCCAGCCAUGCCGCGUGUGUGAAGAAGGUCUUCGGAUUGUAAAGCACUUUAAGUUGGGAGGCGUUACCAACAGAAUAAGCACCGGCUAACUUCGUGCCAGCAGCCGCGGUAAUAC